rnacentral:ncRNA from 1 species
GAUAUUGCGUUGAAGGAAAAUAGUAGACGAUUAUGACUUUAGAGAGAAAGUUCAAAGGUGAAAUACUUUUAGUCCUCUAAGAAUCGAACCCAUUCCGGAGCUUUCAGUCAGAAUUUAGUAUGUCUGAACGAUAGUAUCGUUAAAACUUAUGAGAGGAUUUAUAAAAAUUAAAUCCAUUAGAGUGGUACCACGGAUUUCAAACCUUCGUCUCUUCC